AUUGAACGAUGGCGGCAGGUUUAAAACAUGCAAGUCGAGCGAGCGGCGGAAGGGUGUGUAAGGUCUGGGAAACUGCCUGAUGGAGGGGGAUCACUACUGGAAGCGGUAGCUAAUACCGCAUACCAUCAGAUGUGCACAGAUGGGAUUAGCCAGUAGGUGGGGUAAUGGCUCACGUGGGCGGCGAUCCCUAGCUGGUCUGAUAGGAUGACCACCCACACUCGAACUGGUACCGUGUCCAGACUCCGACGGGAGGCAGCAAUAGGGAAUAUUGCACUAUGGGCGCAAGCCUGAUGCAGCCAUGCCGCGUGUGUGAAGAAGUCCUUCGAGUUGUAUAGCACUUUCAGCGAGGAGGCGUUACUCGCAGAAGAGGCACCGGCUAACUCCGUGCCAGCAGCCGCGGUAAUAC
rnacentral:rRNA from 1 species